rnacentral:rRNA from 1 species
CUACGUAGGGGGCGAGCGUUGUCCGGAAUGAUUGGGCGUAAAGGGCGCGUAGGCGGCCCGGUAAGUCUGGAGUGAAAGUCCUGUUUUUAAGAUGGGAAUUGCUUUGGAUACUGUCGGGCUUGAGUGCAGGAGAGGUAAGUGGAAUUCCCAGUGUAGCGGUGAAAUGCGUAGAGAUUGGGAGGAACACCAGUGGCGAAGGCGACUUACUGGACUGUAACUGACGCUGAGGCGCGAAAGUGUGGGGAGCAAACAGGAUUAGAUACCCUGGUAGUCCACACUGUAAACGAUGAAUGCUAGGUGUAGGGGGUAUCGACCCCUUCUGUGCCGCAGUCAACACAAUAAGCAUUCUGCCUGGGGAGUACGGCCGCAAGGUUGAAACUCAAAUGAAUUGGCGGGG